UUGUGUGACAUUGUCUGCCAUUGUGUGACAUUGUCUGCCAUUGUGUGACAUUGUCUGCCAUUGUUCUGUUUAUUAAUUUUGCUUUUAUUUCGCAAAAUGUUGGACGUGCUAUUAAAUGAACAAAAGAGCUUCUAGUCUUGUAGACUUUGUACAGCUGAUUGUGAGUUAAAGAUGUACAUGCUUUUGUUAUAUGUAUUAUAUGUGUAAAACAAAUUCCAUUUUAUUUAUUUAUUUAUUGUUGUUUGAAUUGGCACAAAAAAAAAUAAAGAUUUUCUUUAAAUUCAG